AUGCUCGCUUUGGCAGCACAUAUACUAAAAUUGCAACGAUACAGAGAAGAUUAGCAUGGCCCCUGCACAAGAUGACACGCAAAUUCGUGAAGCUUUCCAUACUUUU
rnacentral:snRNA from 1 species